rnacentral:lncRNA from 10 species
GGAUUAAGGUCAAAAGUGGCCCUGGAGACCAAAUUCCCUAGUGAGGAACUGCCACAUAACUUCAUGUGUCUUUUGCUUCUGAAUUAUUUCUUCUAGAAACCACCAACCACAAGCUGUCACGCUGGUAUUAUAUCUACAUAACGUUUAUUCUUCUUACAGCAAAGAGCUGGAGAAAUACAAGUGAGAACCUGUUAUUACAGGUUAAAUUGUGUAACACUCAACUUGCGCUGAGGUCCAGUUUCUUUUUAUUAUGCUCCAAUUUUGUUGAAUGACUAUUGCCUAAAAUAAAUGGGCAAUCGACAGGGGCUUAGAACUAACAGGGAUGCUUAAGUGACUUUUAUGGUAGCAGUAUUUGUUGUAACAGAAUUUGAUCUGUAUUCUAGUUAUUAGUUUUAUUCAUCACAUUGGAAAGUUGGCACCUCCACUGUUCAUGCCAUUAUAUGCAAAGCACUGUAGCAUGAAAGUCACUUACAAAGCUGUGAAAAAAACUCUCUGAACACCAGAGGCUCAUGAAACAAUAAAAGUCAGCUAGGGGGAUAUACACUGUUUGAUUUAGCUAAAUAUUCUGGAUGGUCAAAGGUUUAUUCCUUUUAAUUCCUAAAAGUUUUUUUUUUUAACCAUUGGGAUGUAAAUAUUUCUAAAAUGUUUGAUAUACAUAUUUUUGUCUUCUAAGCAUAGUUUUUUUAUGUAUGGUGCACAGGGUCAUCAUUUUAAAUAGAAUAUUGUCCCAUGAUACAGUGAGGCUCUUAAAGAUUGAGAUGUGUAUAGACUGUUUUUGACACUAAAUAACCCAUAUAUCAGGGCUUUGGAGCUUUGCAGUCUACUCAAAAUUUCCAUUUUCUCUAUUGCUGUCCUCCUUUUUCCUUCUUGUUUCCUCUAAAAGUCUGUUUCUUUCCUUUACAGUUAGAAAUAUGUGUGAAGGAAGAGCAAAUAGGUUCUGAGGAGGUGCCUGAUGACUAGAUGUAUGGCCUUUGUCUUAUGCGUUUGCUUCAUGGUAUUUAUUUCAAUUGGUUGGAAGCCUUGUUUGCUUACUUCUUAAUUCUCAGUCACUUUUGAUGGGUUCAGCAGAGGUUCUAGAUUUUUCUAGUUCUGUCUCAGUUACUCAUUGUCAAACCACUGGUUUAGAUUUUGUGUUCAGGAAAUAGGGAUAGGUAAAGCUAUCAGGUGGCUAAGCCCUAGGUAAAUGAGUUGCCAUGAAUCCUAAAAUAUUGUGAAGGUUGUGGGCCAUUUUUAUAAGGCAAAUGGUAUGCUGUGGCCGUGACAGCUGAACUCAGUAAGUGAACUUUAAAACAGAUAAGCUCCUUUUGCUGUUGUCCCUUUCCAAGAAUAUGAAGCUGGCCUGACGUCAAGCUGUUGGAGAGCCUUCAACAUGUUUAAUUAAAUCACAGACUCAGUGUCAGAGCUGGCUGACUUUCAGGAUUCUAACGCUAUAGCAAAAGAAGACAUGGUUUUGCCUCUCGUUGAUUUUCUUAUUUAUGGCCUUGGAAUAAAGAAGAUAAAGCAAGUCUAACAGUUCUCCCUUCCAAAAGUACAGUUUCAGGCCAGAAGAUUUGACUGCUACCCUUAGACUUUCUUUCCCUCACUGUACAUUGCAUUUUACAGGCUAUACAAAGCAAGACCUUCUUUGCAAAAGGCAAACUCCUUUGCCCCAAGGCCAUACUGUACAUGUGUGGGGGUAGUUGUAGGGGGAUCAGUGUUGUUAUUCACCAAUACAAGAUGGAAUCAGUGCAGCUAGGAGAGAAGAGAUUAAGGAAAGAGGCUGUGAAGUCUGCUAGACCUGGGUUUAAAUUCUGGCUUCCCGCUUAUUAGGGUGUAACCGUGGUCACAGUACUUAAUUCUCUAAAUUUGAUUCCUGAGCAACAAAGUGGGGAAUGAUAGUAUUGGUGCUGUUACUAUUAUGAUAAUGUGAAAAACAACAGGAGAGUACCUGGCCCAGAGAAAGAGCUAAGUGACAGCUCUUAUUAACAUAAAUGAAUGAUUUAAACCUGGAGAUUACAAUAGUUAACAAGCACAGACACUUAGUGCAGUCUGUUACUGACUUCAAGCAGUCUUUUGCUUUUGUUUCUAUUUCUGUGACAUCUUCUCUUAUUACGACUUUCUGUUGGGUGUCUCUAACUCUGGUGCCUUGUGAAGGCCAGGAGAUAUUCCAGACAAGCUGAAAUUCUACCUUUUUAUGAGUAUAAAGGAAAUGGGGCCAUGUUGGACCAAACAAAGAGUAAUAAAAUAAAAUAUAGAGUUGUAGCUUUCAGAGGGAAAGAUAAAACAAGAAAGGGCUGGGGCAAUGGAUGUGGUGUUGAGAUACUGGCACCAGGAAGCAGGGAAGAAAACCUCCAAACACAUUGUGGUUUGUUAAAACACUGAAGACUCCUAAGUGCUACAGUGGCAGGCAGUGCCACCCCACCAGGCAGCAGUGUCCUCCGCAACUGGGGAAGAGGAAGUAGGGCCUAAUGAUUGCUCUCGGAGACAGAGAGUCUGCUGUCCUGGGCUUUACCAGCCUGGCUUGUUGGGUGACCUUGAGUGACUUAUCUCCCUCUCUUGGACAAUUUUCUCAAGGUUCUCACACAGUCCCUAGCUAACUAAAAGGGUCUGAUGAAGAUAAAUGUGUUAAAAGAAAAUUUAGAGGAGAGUCCACAAACUGUCCCUCCAGAUACACCUGCUGGUGGGUUUUAGGAUUUUUAAACAUUAAAUUUUAAUGCAUUUAGGCAGGGCUUGGUAUUUUCUAAUUCACACAGUAUCUACCAUCUUGAGUCUUCACAUUUGGCUCCUGAAGGCCUCUGAGUAUAUGACUUCUGAUUUCAAUGCAACCUCUGGUCCUUCAAACCAGCUUGGAAUUGCUUCAUUUACAACUCAUUCUAUGUUUUCAUCAAUUACAUGCAAAUAUGUAUUUCUAAAGUUUCACAAAACAAAGAUUUUGUUGGCCUAACUGUAAUUUGCUCUAAAAGACAUUUUUUUUUCUAGAAAAUAUGGCAAAAAUUACAAUUUUACCUUCCUUCUAGUUCAUCCAAAUUCUAAAACUUUAAUGUUAUUUGAAAACAUAAUUUGGCACCAAGUAUUCUUUAGGUUAUAAUCUAAGUUGCUCAUAAAAUGUAAUCUAGGCCUGGAUCAUUUUACUUUGAGGAGAAAACUUAUCACUAAAUAAUAAUGAUCUUAAGUCUGUUCUUUUGCCACUUCCCAGAGCUCUCUCCUAAGGCACUGUGGAAAAGUCAGGAGUAAAUUAGACUCCCACAUCUAGUAACCAAAACACCAUCAUCUCCAGCAUUACCACAGUCAAGUAUGCAGCUCGUCAUAAAUAUUUACACCUUGCAGGGUCCUUUGUGCACAACUCUGAGAGACAAAUGGCAUUUCCAGUAAUAGUUUAUUGAUUUCCAAAUGCACAGGGGCACCAAGUCCGAACAUCCUGGGAUAGCAGUAAAUCUCUCUUACAAAAUAAUUUACAGUAUGAAAAUGAUAUACUGAAACAUUAACCCAAACGUGUAAUUCCCUUGAAAGAUUCAGUGUUCCCUUGUUUAAUGUAAAGGGUGGAAGGGGAAGAUUCCUAAGGAGGGAAUGUGACUGUGCACAGGAAAAUAGGCAGAGGACAAUGGAUUCAUUGGUUCUCCCCAUUCAUGCAGUGUGGCCUGUCACUGUAGAAAGACUGGUCAGGUUUAACCCUCAUUAAGUAUUAAUCUGCUGUCCCCUCAAAGUCAUAUCAAGCCCAGUAUGGGCUCCGUGGCUUUUUUUGCACCAAUGUAUCCAUAAGUGUCUCCACUUAUUUUCAUUUUUCUGCUCUGGCCCUCGUUCUGCUGUUUCUGGUAUGUUCUCAGUUCCAAAUUAUACUAUCUUAUCUUACCAGGCAGGCCUCCAGAAUCAAGAACUGCCUGAGUCUUAUGGUUUCUGGAAUGGGACAGGGUAGGGGGCUUCAUAAGCACUGCUGGAUAAAGGCAAUAAUAAUGAGACUGAAGUCUCCCAUAUGGGCCUUCUUUUUCUCUUAGAGCUGGGCUGGACUCAAUCCAUAAUGAGAUUUUUUUAAACAUAAAAAUCUGAUGUGAUCAGCACACAGUAAACGUGCAGUUAAUUUUCUUAUUGAGAAGCAUGUAUUGCACAGCCAUUAUAUGAAUGUGGAAUUUCAGGAAUGGCAAGAGAAUAUUUUCUACUUGGGGAGAGAGGACUUCCUAGACCCUGCCACAACUACAAGGUCAUGAAUUCUGCAUUUGUGCCCUUAGGUCUAACUGGAGUAGUUAGACUCUCAGGUCACCAAAAUGGCUGGGCAUCCAAGUUUCCCAUCUUAUUAGACAUCCUGGAGGAGGGCUGGAGUGCAAUUUCCUUCAGGGCUGUCACUUUGACUCAGUGCCUUAGGAGCUAAUGACCUUUGCUAGGGAAUUGCUCUUCCUGUAAGCAAGUACCUAAGCCCCAACUAUAUGGUGACACUUGUAAUUAGGGCUGACAGAAAUCUUUGAAGUAGUACGCAAGUACUGCUGCAAAGUUCUAUAUCUUUGAAGGCCAAGAAACACCUUAUUUAUGGAAGAUGGCAUGAAAAAGGAAAUGUUCUCCUAACUCCUGGGGGUGGGCUCAAGUCAGCAAUGUGUACUUAAAGCAUCUGCUAAAGGGGAGAAAUAAGGCUACCUCAAUGCCAUUUCUGAGCCCUAACUAUAACUGUGAAAUGUCAUUUUGAAGAAGAUUCAUAAAUUGGGAUGGUCAGCACACAGUGGGAAAACCUGAAGUCUUUUUAUCCUUCUGUUUUUAGGUGGACCAUGGUGUGUGGUACAAAGUGCCUGUCCACAGAAUUAGGGGGAGCUGCGUUCAAGAUUUGGCUUGAGUAUUUCCUAGCUGUAUAACUUGAAGCAAAUGACUCUUCCACUCCCCAUCUGUUUUAUUAUCUAAGAGACAGCUCAGGGCCUGGCUCAUAGUUGUUCCUUAAUACAAGUUAUUUCCCUUCUUGGGCUGUCAGAGCCGAGACUCCAAGCACUUCUUGGGACUGUCCUGGAUUUAAUGAUAUCAAAUCAAAGUCCCUCUCAGCAUCCAGAAAUUCAACAUUUGAAAGAUAGCCAGAAAUUGCUAUGAGUAUCCGACUGAUUCUGGAAACAUUCAUUACCUGCCUCCCUUGGUGACUUCUCUUUAGGGGUUUCAGCAAACCCUGCCACCUGCACCCAGGCAAGACCCAAUUCUGAGCUCUCUAACUUUUACUGACCUGGCAGGAGGGAAGCCUCAUCAUGCUGGGGCUUAAGGCCAAGCAGCAUGCUCCAGCUCUAGGGGAAGGUAGUGCCACUGCAGGAAGCAUCCUAGUUCUUACAUUGAUAAAUGCUGCCGGCAGGAACUUAGAAGCCUGGGCAAAAGCUGCUGCACUGUGUUUAAUGCUUCCCUGGUUAAAGUUUUAUCAGGUACUGAAGACAGCAGGAGUCUAUAAAGCAAAUCUGAAACGCUUUCUAAGUAAAAGCAAAAGUGCUUUCCUUGAGGAUCACAGAGAUAUGAUAAGUUACUGAGACAGGUUGGCAAAUAUUUUUAUAUUUCCAUUUAUAUCCACUGCAUAAAAGCUUCCAAAUCCUAAAAUCUUUUUAAUCUUCUGAUACUUAAAUUUUUUCGAGAGUGGCCACUGGUCCUUCUUUUAGGGUACUUUUGUUGGAUAUGAUUGGUGGUUGUAAUUAAUGGUAUGCCAAAUUCUCCAGUCUUUGCAGAGAUAGGUAAAGCACCAAAAUUGUCCUAGCCAUUUCUUGGCCAUCAGUUUGAGAGAAAAAUGCUUUUUUUUUUUUUUUUUUAACACCUCAAACUCCCCUCAGCCCCAAUAUCCUGGCAUCUUUAGUGAGUCAGGACAAU